rnacentral:rRNA from 1 species
GAAUGAUUAGAGGUUCCGGGGUCGAAAUGACCUUGACCUAUUCUCAAACU